rnacentral:rRNA from 1 species
AACGUAGGAGGCGAGCGUUAUCCGGAUUUACUGGGCGUAAAGGGCAAGUAGGCGGUGGCCAAAGUUGGGCGUGACAGAUUUCGGCUCAACCGAAAAAGGUCGUCCAAAACUAGGUUACUUGAGGACAGGAGAGGGGAGCGGAAUUCCUAGUGUAGCGGUGGAAUGCUCAGAUACUAGGAGGAACACCAGUGGCGAAAGCGGCUCUCUGGCCUGCACCUGACGCUGAGAGGCGAAAGCUAGGGGAGCGAACGGG